UCAGGCUUUCCGGCAGCUGUCGCAUCGUUUCCAUGGCAAAGGCUCAGGGAAGAUGAAGACCGAGAAGAGGAUGAAGAAGCUGGAGGAGGAAGCUCUGUUGAAGAAGAUGAGCAGCAGUGAUACUCCACUGGGGACGGUGGCUCUGCUGCAGGAGAAGCAGAAGUCUCAGAAGACGCCCUACAUCGUCCUGAGUGGUAGUGGCAAGAGCAUGAACGCAAACACCAUCACCAAGUAGCGGAUGCCUGUACAUGUUCCCGAUUACACACACACACA